rnacentral:sRNA from 1 species
GCUGGAUGCAGUGGUGUAUGCCUGUGAUCCCAGCUAUUUGGAAGGCUGCAGUGUGACAAUUGCUGGAGCCUAGGAGUUCAAGAUCAUCCUGGGAAACAUACUGAGACCACAUUUCAA